UACGUAGGGUGCGAGCGUUAAUCGGAAUUACUGGGCGUAAAGCGUGCGCAGGCGGUUUUGUAAGACAGUUGUGAAAUCCCCGGGCUCAACCUGGGAACUGCAUCUGUGACUGCAUAGCUAGAGUACGGUAGAGGGGGAUGGAAUUCCGCGUGUAGCAGUGAAAUGCGUAGAUAUGCGGAGGAACACCGAUGGCGAAGGCAAUCCCCUGGACCUGUACUGACGCUCAUGCACGAAAGCGUGGGGAGCAAACGGG
rnacentral:rRNA from 1 species